UACGGGGGAUCCAAGCGUUAUCCGGAUUUAUUGGGUUUAAAGGGUGCGUAGGUUGCCUGUUAAGUCAGUGGUGAAAGACGGUAGCUCAACUAUCGCAGUGCCCUUGAUACUGAUGGGCUUGAAUGAACUAGAGGUAGGCGGAAUGUGACAAGUAGCGGUGAAAUGCAUAGAUAUGUCACAGAACACCAAUUGCGAAGGCAGCUUACUAUGGUUUGAUUGACACUGAGGCACGAAAGCGUGGGGAUCAAACAGG
rnacentral:rRNA from 1 species